GACGAACGCUGGCGGCGUGCUUAACACAUGCAAGUCGAACGGAAAGGCCCCGUUCUUGUGGGGUGCUAGAGUCGCGAACGGGUGUGUAACACGUGAGUCCCCUGCCUUAGACUUUGGGAUCAUUUCGGGAAUCUGGGGCUAAUCCCGGAUAGGCGCCUCCGCCGUAUGGUGGGGGUUGGAAUGUUUGGGCGGUUGGGGAUGGACUCGCGGCUUAUCCGUUUGUUGGUGGGGUGGUGGCUUACCAAGGCUUUGACGGGUAGCCGGCCUGAGGGGGUGACCGGCCACAUUGGGAUGGGAAUACGGCCCGAACUCCUACGGGGGGCGGCAGUGGGGAUAUUUGCACAAUGGUCGGAAGCCGAAUGCAGCAACGCCGCGUGCGGGAUGACGGCCUUCGGUUUUUAAACCGUUUCCGCCAGUGACGAAGCUUGAGUGACGGUAAUGGGUAAAGAAGCACCGGCUAACUACGUG
rnacentral:rRNA from 1 species